GCAAAGGUAUCUAUCUGAAAUGUGACAUUGCAGGACUAACGAGUUGGUCAUGAGCUUAGAUGAUGAUGAAAAGCUGAUUCUACACAAUGGCCAGACCCUUAGCGCUGCUGGCGUUGCUAACGAAACAGAACUGGCCUUCUUCAGGAAAGAAGACUAUGGUCUCUAUAAAGCAAACCCCAAAACAGCCUGGUGACCACAGUGUUUCACAUUCGUAGAGGACUUUCUUAAAAGAUGGAGGAUAAAUAUCAGGCAUGCCACAAACAAUACUGAUUAUUAAAAUAAAACAAAACAAUAACAGUGUCGUUAAGCUUAGGUUCUUUGUUUGCUUUUUAUAUUUUUUUUUUUUUCAAGCUGAUGCCUAAGUAUCAGUGGUAUGCCUGUGUAUUUUUAUUUUUGAACCUUUUUCUUCCAUUAAUUAAGAAAAUGUGUUUGUUUUAAAAUUGCUGAAUAAAGACUGGUUUUAAAAUG